rnacentral:rRNA from 1 species
CCUACGGGAGGCAGCAGUGGGGGAUAUUGCACAAUGGGGGAAACCCUGAUGCAGCGACGCCGCGUGGGCGAAGAAGUAUUUCGGUAUGUAAAGCCCUAUCAGCAGGGCAGAAGAAAUGACGGUACCUGAGUAAGCAGCACCGGCUAAAUACGUGCCAGCAGCCGCGGUAAUACGGAUGGUGCAAGCGUUAUCCGGAUUUACUGGUUGUAACGGAAGCACAGGCGGCACGGCGAGCCUGAUGUGAAAGCCCGCGGCCCAACCGCGGGACUGCAUUGGGAACUACCGGGCGGGAGUGCCGGAGAGGUAGGCGGAAUUCUUAGUGUAGCGGUGAAAUGCGUAGAUAUUAGGAGGAACACCAGUGGCGAAGGCGGCCUACUGGACGGUGACUGACGCUGAGGCUCGAAAGCGUGGGGAGCAAACAGGAUUAGAUACCCUUGUAGUC